UACGGAGGGGGCUAGCGUUGUUCGGAAUUACUGGGCGUAAAGCGCGCGUAGGCGGGUUGUUAAGUCAGGGGUGAAAUGCCGAGGCUCAACCUCGGAACUGCCUUUGAUACUGGCAACCUGGAGUUCGGGAGAGGUGAGUGGAAUUCCGAGUGUAGAGGUGAAAUUCGUAGAUAUUCGGAGGAACACCAGAAGCGAAGGCGGCUCACUGGCCCGAUACUGACGCUGAGGCGCGAAAGCGUGGGGAGCAAACAGG
rnacentral:rRNA from 1 species